rnacentral:rRNA from 1 species
GACGAGCGCUGGCGGCGUGCCUAAUACAUGCAAGUCGAACGAGAGCGCCCGGUGCUUGCACUGUUCAAUCUAGUGGCGAACGGGUGAGUAACACGUGGGUAACCUGCCCAUCAGAGGGGGAUAACAUCCGGAAACGGAUGCUAAAACCGCAUAGGUCUUCGAACCGCAUGGUUUGAAGAGGAAAAGCGGCGCAAGCUUCUGCUGAUGGAUGGACCCGCGGUGCAUUAGCUAGUUGGUGAGGUAACGGCUCACCAAGGCCGUGAUGCAUAGCCGACCUGAGAGGGUGAUCGGCCACAUUGGGACUGAGACACGGCCAAAACUCCUACGGGAGGCAGCAGUAGGGAAUCUUCCGCAAUGGACGCAAGUAUGACGGAGCAACGCCGCGUGAGUGAAGAAGGUUUUCGGAUCGUAAAACUCUGUUGUGAGAGAAGAACAAGUGCUAGAGUAACUGUUAGCGCCUUGACGGUAUCUAACCAGAAAGCCACGGCUAACUACGUG